rnacentral:snRNA from 1 species
GUGCUUGCUUCGGCACACAUACAGUAAAGUUAGAAUGAUACAGAAAAGAUUAGCAUGACCUUUGCGCAAGGAUGACAUGCAGAGUCAUGAAGCAUUCCAUAUACGU